ACCUUUGUUAGAGUUUUUGUGUGGUCAUCCUUUUCAUUCAUUUUAAUGCUAUUGCUUUCUGUUUCUUAGUUUUCCUUCUUACAGUCAGGCCCCUCUUCUGCAGGUAUGCUGGAGUUUGCUGGGCAUCCACUCCAGAACCUGUUUGCCUGGGUUUCACCAGUAGAGGCUGAAGUACUGCAAAUAUUGCUGCCUGUUUCUUCGUCUGGAAGUUGUGCUCCAGAAGGGCACCCACCAAAUGCCAGCUGGAGCUCUCCUGUAUGAGGUGUGUCAACACCUGCUGGGGGGUGUCUCCCAGUCAGAAGGCAUGGGGGUCAGGGACCCACUUGAGCAGGCAGUCUGUCCCUUAGCAGAGCUUGAGUGCUGUGUAGGGAGAUCUGCUGCUCUUUGCAGAGCCGGCAGGCAGGAACAUGUAAGUCUGCUGAAGCUGUGCCCACAACCAACCUUU